UCGGGAAUUUUGGGCAAUGGGCGAAAGCCUGACCCAGCAACGCCGCGUGAGGGAUGAAGUAUUUCGGUAUGUAAACCUCGAAAGAAUGGGAAGAAUAAUGACGGUACCAUUUAUAAGCUCCGGCUAACUACGUGCCAGCAGCCGCGGUAAUACGUAGGGAGCAAGCGUUGUUCGGAUUUACUGGGCGUAAAGGGCGCGUAGGCGGCGCGGUAAGUCACUUGUGAAAUCUCUGAGCUUAACUCAGAACGGCCAAGUGAUACUGCUGUGCUAGAGUGUGGAAGAGGCAACCGGAAUUCUUGGUGUAGCGGUUAAAUGCGUAGAUAUCAAGAGGAACACCUGAGGCGAAGGCGGGUUGCUGGGCCGACACUGACGCUGAUGCGCGAAAGCCAGGGGAGCAAACG
rnacentral:rRNA from 1 species